CAGGAUGAACGCUAGCUACAGGCUUAACACAUGCAAGUCGAGGGGCAGCAUGGUCUUAGCUUGCUAAGGCUGAUGGCGACCGGCGCACGGGUGAGUAACACGUAUCCAACCUGCCGUCUACUCUUGGCCAGCCUUCUGAAAGGAAGAUUAAUCCAGGAUGGCAUCAUGAGUUCACAUGUCCGCAUGAUUAAAGGUAUUUUCCGGUAGACGAUGGGGAUGCGUUCCAUUAGAUAGUAGGCGGGGUAACGGCCCACCUAGUCAACGAUGGAUAGGGGUUCUGAGAGGAAGGUCCCCCACAUUGGAACUGAGACACGGUCCAAACUCCUACGGGAGGCAGCAGUGAGGAAUAUUGGUCAAUGGGCGAUGGCCUGAACCAGCCAAGUAGCGUGAAGGAUGACUGCCCUAUGGGUUGUAAACUUCUUUUAUAAAGGAAUAAAGUCGGGUAUGCAUACCCGUUUGCAUGUACUUUAUGAAUAAGGAUCGGCUAACUCCGUGCCAGCAGCCGCGGUAAUACGGAGGAUCCGAGCGUUAUCCGGAUUUAUUGGGUUUAAAGGGAGCGUAGAUGGAUGUUUAAGUCAGUUGUGAAAGUUUGCGGCUCAACCGUAAAAUUGCAGUUGAUACUGGAUGUCUUGAGUGCAGUUGAGGCAGGCGGAAUUCGUGGUGUAGCGGUGAAAUGCUUAGAUAUCACGAAGAACUCCGAUUGCGAAGGCAGCCUGCUAAGCUGCAACUGACAUUGAGGCUCGAAA
rnacentral:rRNA from 1 species